GACGAACGCUGGCGGCGUGCUUAACACAUGCAAGUCGAACGGAAAGGCCCUGCUUCUGUGGGGUGCUCGAGUGGCGAACGGGUGAGUAACACGUGAGUAACCUGCCCUUGACUUUGGGAUAACUUCAGGAAACUGGGGCUAAUACCGGAUAGGAGCUCCUGCCGCAUGGUGGGGGUUGGAAAGUCUCGGCGGUUGGGGAUGGACUCGCGGCUUAUCAGCUUGUUGGUGGGGUAGUGGCUUACCAAGGCUUUGACGGGUAGCCGGCCUGAGAGGGUGACCGGCCACAUUGGGACUGAGAUACGGCCCAGACUCCUACGGGAGGCAGCAGUGGGGAAUAUUGCACAAUGGGCGGAAGCCUGAUGCAGCAACGCCGCGUGCGGGAUGACGGCCUUCGGGUUGUAAACCGCUUUCGCCUGUGACGAAGCGUGAGUGACGGUAAUGGGUAAAGAAGCACCGGCUAACUACGUG
rnacentral:rRNA from 1 species